rnacentral:lncRNA from 1 species
UAGAACAAAAGAUAAGCUCUGGAACAUCAAUAAGGUACAUGGAGAUACAUCAAUAUAUAUUGUUCAAAUUACUAAACAACUUCUCACGUCCUUUCAGAGAACAAAAUUUGCGUACUUUUCAUCAAUGACAAGAUACAGAAGAAAAUUAAUAAAAUCAUACAACAACAAAUAAAAGAAAUAACAAAAAUCAAAUCCAAAAAUUAACAUUGAUUAAUGAAUUCAGAUGGUUAUACCAGGUGCGGGAGCCAGGGCCAUAGGUCUUAGGGUGAGAAUUCCAGAUGUUCGAGUGUCCCAUCUUCCUCUUCUGCCGAACCAAAUGCCGCUAGGGUUUGUAAGUGAAGAGGCCUAAUUGCGGAGAAUAGUGGAGGUUUCUGCACAAAUUGUGAGACGAG